rnacentral:rRNA from 1 species
AGAGUUUGAUCCUGGCUCAGAUUGAACGCUGGCGGCAUGCCUAACACAUGCAAGUCGAACGGAAACGAUGCUAGCUUGCUAGCAGGCGUCGAGUGGCGGACGGGUGAGUAAUAUAUAGGGAUCUGCCUAAUAGUGGGGGACAACGUGUGGAAACGCACGCUAAUACCGCAUACGCUCUACGGAGGAAAGUGGGGGAUCUUCGGACCUCAUGCUAUUAGAUGAACCUAUAUCGGAUUAGCUUGUUGGUGAGGUAAUGGCUCACCAAGGCGACGAUCCGUAGCUGGUUUGAGAGAAUGAUCAGCCACACUGGGACUGAGACACGGCCCAGACUCCUACGGGAGGCAGCAGUGGGGAAUAUUGCACAAUGGACGAAAGUCUGAUGCAGCAAUGCCGCGUGUGUGAAGAAGGCCUUCGGGUUGUAAAGCACUUUCAGAUGUGAGGAAAAGCAGUCUAUUAAUACUAGAUUGCCGUGACGUUAACAUCAGAAGAAGGACCGGCUAACUCCGUGCCAGCAGCCGCGGUAAUACGGAGGGUCCAAGCGUUAAUCGGAAUUACUGGGCGUAAAGCGCGCGUAGGCGGAUAAUUAAGUCAGAUGUGAAAUCCCUGGGCUCAACCUAGGAACUGCAUUUGAUACUGGCUAUCUAGAGUAUGGUAGAGGUGAGUGGAAUUUCAGGUGUAGCGGUGAAAUGCGUAGAGAUCUGAAGGAACAUCAGUGGCGAAGGCGACUCACUGGGCCAUUACUGACGCUGAGGUGCGAAAGCGUGGGUAGCAAACAGGAUUAGAUACCCUGGUAGUCCACGCCCUAAACGAUGUCAACUAGGUGUGUGAGAGUCUAACUCUUGCGUAUCGAAGCUAACGCGAUAAGUUGACCGCCUGGGGAGUACGGUCGCAAGACUAAAACUCAAAUGAAUUGACGGGGCCCGCACAAGCGGUGGAGCAUGUGGUUUAAUUCGAUGCAACGCGAAGAACCUUACCUGGCCUUGACAUGUAGUGAACUUACCAGAGAUGGUUUGGUGCCUUCGGGAACACUAACACAGGUGCUGCAUGGCUGUCGUCAGCUCGUGUCGUGAGAUGUUGGGUUAAGUCCCGCAACGAGCGCAACCCCUGUCCUUAGUUGCCAUCAUUUAGUUGGGCACUCUAAGGAGACUGCCGGUGACAAACCGGAGGAAGGUGGGGAUGACGUCAAGUCCUCAUGGCCUUUAUGCCCAGGGCUACACACGUGCUACAAUGGGCGGCACAAAGGGCAGCGACGCCGCGAGGUGUAGCAAAUCCCAAAAAACCGUUCUCAGUUCGGAUCGGAGUCUGCAACUCGACUCCGUGAAGUUGGAAUCGCUAGUAAUCGUGGAUCAGCAUGCCACGGUGAAUACGUUCCCGGGCCUUGUACACACCGCCCGUCACACCACGAAGGUCUGCUGUACCAGAAGUCGCUGGGCUAACCCCGCUUGCGGGGGGGCAGGCGUCUAAGGUACGGCCGGUAAUUGGGGUGAAGUCGUAACAAGGUAACC